rnacentral:rRNA from 1 species
GSAGGGAAACGAAUGCAGCUGAAGUGGWUCCGUMUCAGGUUCAGGGGAUGUCGGAGGAUGUUCUGGGUCUGGGUAGCUUCGGCGUCCUGGCUUGRAUAGGCCGACGACUUGCACUCCUGUGGGGAGCCGGCCAACAGCARYUGCUUCUGGCCCAGAAGGUGAACGUAUAGCCAUCCGCGACUGASGAGAGCAGCGCAGGCCCCCGGGUCGCCUCUGUUCGUUUCCCCGCGGUUGGGGCAGUGUCGGCUGACGGUCAGUCUGCUCGGUCGGGGGAAUGGCCACGCCUUGCGCUCUAGUUGUUGGUGCUCAAAUGGCUGCAUCCGACCCGUCUUGAAACNCGGACCAAGGAGUGCAACAUGCGUGCGAGUCUUUGGGUGACAAACCCGUCGGCGCAAUGAAAGUGAAGGCAGGCCACAUCGUCGACCGAUCCCAGGNUACNCNGUGGCGGNAUUUGAGUAAGAGCGUGCCUGUUGCGACCCGAAAGAUGGUGAACUAUGCCUGAAUAGGGUGAAGCCAGNAANNNCUCUGGUGGNNGCUCGUAGCNAUUCUGACGUGCNNAUCNAUCGUCNNNUUUGGGUAU